AUGGCCAUGGUGCAGUCGGUAGCGCGGCGCGGCGCGAGGUCGGUGGCGACGGCCCAGCUAGGGAUGCACCUCUUCUCCGUGUCCUGCUGCUCACCGGCGGCGCUCGGCGUCGGCACCGCGCGCACGGCUGCCACGUUAAAGAAAGGGGAGAAGGAGGCGGCAAGCUACUGGGGCGUGGCUCCGGCGAGGCUCGUCAAGGAGGACGGCACCGAGUGGAAGUGGCCGUGCUUCAGGCCGUGGGAUGCGUACGAGGCGGACGUGUCCAUCGAUCUGAAGAAGCAGUGGCGUACCCAAGGGGUGUGCCAGAAGCACCACCGGCCGGCCACGUUGGGGGACAAGGUGGCCUUGUGGACUGUCAAGGCGAUGCGCUGGCCCACCGACCUCUUCUUCCAGUCGCUCCGGCGCUUCGAGCAGAGCGGCGGGUGGAUCCGUCCACUGCUAGAGGAGGCCGAGAACGAGCGCAUGCACCUCAUGACCUUCAUGGAGGUGUCCCAGCCGCGGUGGUACGAGCGCGCGCUCGUGGUCGCCGUCCAGGGCGUCUUCUUCCACGCCUACCUCGCCACCUACCUCGCCUCCCCAAAGGUCGCGCACCGCAUGGUGGGGUACCUGGAGGAGGAGGCCGUGCACUCCUACACCGAGUUCCUUCGUGACCUCGAGGCCGGCAAGAUCGACGACGUGCCCGCGCCGACGAGGCGCACCACCGGGACGUCAAACCACUACGCCUCCGACAUACAUUGCCAGGGGCAUGCACUGCGAGAGGUAGCUGCGCCGAUCGGCUACCACUGA
rnacentral:rRNA from 1 species